rnacentral:rRNA from 1 species
UACGUAGGUGGCGAGCGUUGAUCCGGAUUACUGGGCGUAAAGCGUGUGCAGGCGGGGGACAAGUGGUGUAUGAAAUGGCUCGGCUAACCGGGCAGCGGGUAUGACCAGCUGUUUCUGGAGUGCGAGAGAGGGCGUGGAAUUCCGGGUGUAGUGGUGAAAUGCGUAGAGAGUCCGGAGGAACCCCAGAGGCGAAGGCGGCGCCCUGGCUCGCAACUGACGCUCAGACACGACAGCAUGGGGAGCGAACGGG